rnacentral:lncRNA from 1 species
UCAUUUCCAUCUCUCAGCCACCUUUGAAUCCCAUCGUCUCUUAAACUCUCUCAAAUUUCUUCAUAACCCUAGUCGACUUCCACCCUUUUUCAACCAUUACUCCACCAUAAUCCAUGGCUUCUCAGGCCAUGGAUGGCAUGUACUCACCCCUCUCUACAAUUAGACCUUGGGUGUUUGAAGCUUUGAGGUCUGCUCUCGAUGAUUCACCUUCAGAUCUUCUGAGAUCUAUAGUUAUAUGGCUUCUCCAGCCUGCUCCGGCGUAUCCAAAGCACUAGAGCCUGUUUCUAACUCAGCCGACUCCAGAUCAGACUUUCUUCCAAACCUUUCUCUUUUCUAGGGUUUUUCCGAAAUUCUAAGCUAUUCGAGGUUUUUUCUCUGUUUCUUUUCUUAGAUCUAUGUUGUAUCUACGCUUUACUUGACUUUUAAAGUGUUUUCCCCAAAUUUUCCUUUUCAAAAUCAUUUGUUUUCGAUUUAGGGAUUCUGAAAGGG